CCUACGGGAGGCAGCAGUGGGGGAUAUUGCACAAUGGGGGAAACCCUGAUGCAGCGACGCAGCGUGGGUGAAGAAGCGCCUCGGCGCGUAAAGCCCUGUCAGCAGGGAAGAAAAUGAAGGUACCUGAAGAAGAAGCCCCGGCUAACUACGUGCCAGCAGCCGCGGUAAUACGUCGGGGGCAAGCGUUAUCCGGAUUUACUGGGUGUAAAGGGGGCGCAGACGGCGAUGCAAGCCAGGAGUGAAAGCCCGGGGCCCAACCCCGGGACUGCUCUGGGAACUGCGUGGCUAGAGUGCAGGAGGGGCAGGCGGAAGUCCUGGUGUAGCGGUGAAAUGCGUAGAUAUCAGGAGGAACACCGGUGGCGAAGGCGGCCUGCUGGACUGCAACUGACGUUGAGGCCCGAAAGCGUGGGGAGCAAACAGGAUUAGAUACCCCUGUAGUC
rnacentral:rRNA from 1 species